AUGCUUUCUCUGGAUGCACAUUUCAAUUUCAGUAAAUUGAAAUGAUAGAUUAGCAAGGCCUUGUGACAGAAUGACAUGCAAACUCAUGAAGUGUUCUGGUGUGUG
rnacentral:snRNA from 1 species